ACGAUGUGUGGAGGAUGCUUGGAGGCACGUGAAGAGCAGUGUUGGCGCCAGCCCGGCGCAAUACGUGCUCGGCACAUUCGUGGACUUCAAAGGAGCAUUCGACAACGUCGAAUGGAGUGCUGCACUCAGCCGACUAGCCGACUUGGGAUGCCGGGAAAUGGGCUUGUGGCAGAGCUUUUUCUCCGGCCGAAGAGCAGUGAUCCGAAGCAGUUCCGGUACUGUGGAGGUACCGGUAACUAGAGGCUGCCCGCAGGGAUCAAUCAGCGGCCCAUUUAUCUGGGACAUACUGAUGGAUGUACUGCUUCAGCGUCUCCAGCCGUAUUGCCAGCUGAGUGCAUACGCGGAUGACUUGCUGCUUCUCGUCGAGGGAAAUUCCCGAGCUGUGCUAGAGGAAAAAGGAGCGCAACUAAUGUCCAUCGUAGAAACGUGGGGAGCGGAAGUUGGCGUUGCCGUCUCGACCAGCAAGACGGUAAUCAUGCUGCUGAAAGGUGCCUUGAGACGUGCGCCUACGGUGAGGUUUGCUGGAGCGAACCUUCCGUAUGUGCGUAGCUGUCGGUACCUUGGCAUCACGGUCAGUGAAGGAAUGAAAUUCCUCACGCACAUAGCUUCGCUUCGCCAGCGGAUGACAGGAGUCGUUGGAGCAUUGGCGCGUGUGCUUCGAGCCGACUGGGGCUUCAGUCCUCGAGCCAGGCGGACCAUAUAUGACGGACUCAUGGCACCUUGUGUGCUGUUUGGUGCCCCGGUAUGGUAUGACACCGCGGAACAAGUAGCUGCCCAGAGGCGACUAGCCUCCUGCCAGAGGCUAAUCCUGCUUGGAUGCCUUUCGGUAUGCCGAACAGUAUCCACAGUGGCACUGCAGGUACUUGGUGGAGCUCCCCCGCUUGAUCUGGCUGCUAAGUUAUUAGCGAUCAAAUACAAGCUAAAACGUGGAUUCCCGCUGGAGGAGAACGACUGGCUUUACGGCGAGGACAUUGCGUGUCUUAGCUGGGAGCAGAGGAAGACUCGCCUAGAGGAGUGUUUAAUCCAGAGUUGGCAGAACAGAUGGGACGAUGACAGCGAACCAGGACGGGUGACGCAUAGGUUUAUCCCAUACGUCACUCUUGCCUAUCGGGAUCCAAGUUUUGGAUUCUCGAUGAGGACGUCUUUCCUGCUUACAGGGCACGGGUCGUUCAAUGCAUUUUUGCACGGGAGAGCCCUCAGCGAUACCACUGCUUGCGCAUGUGGAGAUCCAUAUGAGGACUGGAUGCAUAUCUUGUGCGCUUGCCCCCUAUAUGCAGAUCUGCGGGACCUAGAUGGACUUGGAGUGCAGCGCCUUGGCGAAAACUGGAUCUUCGAGGGAAUCCUGGAUGAUCAAGAGAAGACUCAACGGCUGGCAAUGUUUGCGGAAGAAGUGUUCCUGAGGAGGAGGGGCGUUUAGCUCAACAUCUCUGCCGUGUGGUUAGCGGGCGAGAAUACUACCACAGUCCGCUGUUGCUUGUCGUAAGAGACGACUAAUACAGCGAUAGGAUUCCUCUAACCCUGCUUGUCGGAGCAAAAGGGGGAGGCCCACCGAGCCUCUUUUCGGUACCACGGGUUGAGCAGCUAUCCAAGACUGCUCAUUGAGGUAGGCCCCCUGGUGGGAGUAUCGUGGUGGCUGUGGUUGGUACCCAUAUCGCGGGUAGAGCCUUCAUGCUCGACGUUUGAGUUACGGUGCUAGUUGCGCAAAACUCGGGUGCUGAGACCCAGAGAUCAGUAGAGAUUUUAGGUAGAUCUCGCUCCUCAGCAAGGGGGAGUGCUUGCCCGGCAAGCAAGUACUCGAAUUGCUACCGGGGUGGUCGCUAUGUACAUAGCUAUAGCUUCUAGUCCGGGACGCUUGUCUGGCGUAUCCAGACACAUGCACCAUAUGCUCACUUGUGGGUGUAUAGGGUGCCGUGGUUGUAAUCCCUUCAGUGUGGAACACGCCACGUAAAAUAAGUUCGGAGGGAUCCGAAAAGCAUACAUUGUCCCUAUCUACUAUCUAGCGAAACCACAGCCAAGGGAACGGGCUUGGAAUAAUUAGCGGGGAAAGAAGACCCUUUUGAGCUUGACUCUAAUCUGGCAGUGUAAGGAGACAUAAGAGGUGUAGAAUAAGUGGGAGAUAUUAGACCUCGGUUUGGUAUCGUCAAUGAAAUACCACUACUCUUAUUGUUUCCUUACUUACUUGAUUAAAUGGAACGUGUAUCAUUUCCUAGCCAUUAUACGGAUAUAUUUAUUAUAUCUUAUGGUAUUGGGUUUUGAUGCAAGCUUCUUGAUCAAAGUAUCACGAGUUUGUUAUAUAAUCGCAAACAAAUUCUUUAAUAAAACGAUGCAUUUAUGUAUUUUUGAUUUGAAAAUUUGGUAUAACUCCAAUUACUCAGGUAUGAUCCAAUUCAAGGACAUUGCCAGGUAGGGAGUUUGACUGGGGCGGUACAUCUCUCAAAUAAUAACGGAGGUGUCCCAAGGCCAGCUCAGUGCGGACAGAAACCACACAUAGAGCAAAAGGGCAAAUGCUGACUUGAUCUCGGUGUUCAGUACACACAGGGACAGCAAAAGCUCGGCCUAUCGAUCCUUUUGGUUUAAAGAGUUUUUAACAAGAGGUGUCAGAAAAGUUACCAUAGGGAUAACUGGCUUGUGGCGGCCAAGCGUUCAUAGCGACGUCGCUUUUUGAUCCUUCGAUGUCGGCUCUUCCUAUCAUUGUGAAGCAAAAUUCACCAAGCGUUGGAUUGUUCACCCAUGCAAGGGAACGUGAGCUGGGUUUAGACCGUCGUGAGACAGGUUAGUUUUACCCUACUAAUGACAAAACGUUGUUGCGACAGCAUUCCUGCGUAGUACGAGAGGAACCGCAGGUACGGACCAAUGGCACAAUACUUGUUCGAGCGAACAGUGGUAUGACGCUACGUCCGUUGGAUUAUGCCUGAACGCCUCUAAGGUCGUAUCCGUGCUGGACUGCAAUGAUAAAUAAGGGGCAAUUUGCAUUGU
rnacentral:rRNA from 1 species